rnacentral:rRNA from 1 species
AUUGAACGCUGGCGGCAGGCCUAACACAUGCAAGUCGAGCGAGCGGCGGACGGGUGAGUAAUGUAUGGGGACUGCCCGGUAGAGGGGGAUAAAUACUGGAAACGGUGGCUAAUACCGCAUACUAACGGAUAACCCAUAUGGGAGUAGCUAGUAAGUGGGGUAAAGGCGCCCCUACGCGACGCUCUCUAGCUGGUCUGAGAGGAUGCUCAGCCACACUGGGACUGAGAAACGGCCCAGACUCCUACGGGGGCGGAAGUGGGGACUAUUGCACAAUGGGCGCAAGCCUGAUGCAGCGUCGCCGCGUGUGGGAUGAAGGCUUUCGGGUUGUAAACCUCUUUCGCUAUCGAACGGUUAGGUGGAGAAGAAGCGCCGGCUAACUACGUGCCAGCAGCCGCGGUAAUAC